AAACAUGGAUUUGCCGGAUAUCGAAAACAUACCGGAAACUGGAGCUGUCUUUACAAUUGGUCGAAGCAGAUUUGCAGACAAUGUAGCAUCACAUUUCUUCAUCAGAAAGGAUCCUGUGAUAUCUGUUGCUUGUGGUGACGAGCAUUCUGCUGUAAUUUGUCAAAGCGGACGACUUUUCGUAUUUGGUAGCAAUGAUUGGGGUCAACUUGGACUUGGUCACAAGAAUCACGUGAGCAAACCAUCAUGCGUUAAAAUUUUAAAACCUGACAAAGUGACACAUGCAGCUUGUGGCAGAACACACACGCUGAUAUGCACAGGUGGUCAAAAACUAUUUGCAUGCGGUAGUGAUCAAGAGGGCCAACUUGGUCGAGGAAGUAAUGCAGUUGGUGACAGUUCCAGUUCACCAGUUAUGGUCCACGAUUGUGGAUUAGCGGGACCAAAAGUUGUCCAAUUAUGUGCUGGGUCCCAGCAUUCAAUGGCUUUAACAGCUGAUGGAUCAGUCUUAGUUUGGGGCAGUAAUUUGGAGGGACAACUUGGUUUACCAGGCACUUCCGGCCUCGUCAAUAAACCGACGAAAGUUCAAAUUCCUGAAAAUAUUAAACAAAUUAGUGCUGGAUAUUAUCAUUCUGCUUUCCUCACCGAAAGUGGCUUCGUUUAUAUUUGUGGUGAAUCUGAAAGUGGGAAAUUGGGUAUCGAUGUGAAAUUUUCAACUCAAGCAGCUCCCAAGCAAAUCAUGCUUUCGAAGUCUGCAACUAAAAUAGCGUGUGGCGGUCAUCAUACCCUUAUCCUAACUGAAGAUGGUUGUAUAUAUUGUAUGGGAAGCAACUCGAAUGGUCAAUUAGGAUUAGGUACAAACGUGACAGAAGUGCAAACACCUAAUCUUCUUCCAUUAGAUGUCUUAAAAAACGAAGUGAUUUCUAAAAUAUCUUGUGGAGAGAGCCAUAGUGCAUUUCUGACUAAUAGUGGAAAAAUCUACACAUGCGGCGAUGGAAGGCAUGGAAAGUUGGGCUUGGAAGAGAAUGAAAACAAUGUACACGAAUUGACAUUUGCUACGAGAUAUCAAGAGCUUUUCGUGACGAAUGUUUCCUGUGGAGGAUGUCAUACAAUUCUAGUCGGUCGAAGACGAGAUUCAGGAAAUAGAGAAUCCGAGACAAUACAAACGGACCACUCUUCACAAAAAAAGAACCCCCUGCCCCCUCUAAAGGUGCCAGUAAACAGACUUCCGACAGGAAAUCACGUCGAACAAGCUGAGAAUGAAAACAUGGAAAAAUCGGAAAAAACCGAUCCAAGCACUGAUAAGAUAAAAGACCGUGUGGCAAUAAAUGAUCAAGAGGCGAUAAACAACACGGCAACGGGUGGGUUCAUAGAAAGCAAAGCAAGUCCAAUCAAUAACGUUGCAAUGAAGAAUAUCGAAAAGCAGGAAAGUCCCAAAAAAUUUUCAGACUACCUUCCUAAAGAUGAUCCACCGGUGGAGAAUAAAUUAAAAAGUAUGGAAAAUGAUAAUGAAGAAAAAGAAAUUGAUACGAGUGCGCUUGAAGAAAUUGAUAAAAGUGCCCGUGAUGAAAUCGAUAAAAGUGCCUCUGAAAAAUUUGAUAAAACUGUCCCUGAAGAAAUUCUUAUACGUGCCCCUGAAGAAGUUUUGGAAAAAAUGGACCCCGCGAAAAACUUGGAGUCUUCCGAUCCCAGCGUGAUACUCAUUGAGAAUGAAAAAAUUGAGGAAGCUUCUGAUGAAGCAACAAGAGCGGAAGUAAGAUUAGAAAAACCGAUUUCACCUCCGACUACGGACCCUCCGCCAAAGCCUCCUCGACAAAAAUCAGGAAGCGCGAGCACUUCCUCUACAACCCCUUCGAGUCCGGUCAAAAAUUUUGAUUCAGGGGUGAUUGUAGAAAUCCAUGAAAAAAUGGAGAAUGAAUUAAAAGAAGAUACUUUUUCUAUUAAUUCUGUUGAUACUCAAAAAACUCGAUCGGCGAAAUCGAAAAGGAGUGAGGCGGAGGAAAUUAAUCAGGUGGAUGAUAUUCUAACUGAAGUGGAGCGGAAAAAAGAAAAUGGAGAAGAAGGAAGGAAAGAGGAUCUAGAAAUUAUUGAUGAUGGUGAUGACGCUGAUGACGUUCAAUCUCCAAUAACAAGGACGGAAUUUUCAGGAAAAAUGGCAAGACUAUUUAAAUCCAAGAAAAACCAAGAAACAGAAAAUGGUACAAAGACUCAUGCUACAUCAAACACGAAAGUAAAGUCGAGGACGUGUACUCUUCUAUAAUUUGGAAACUAGCAAAUUUUCGAAAAACCUUUCUUGAGGAUCGAAAAUUAUUGGCAAAAUAUUCAGUGUAGUAUAGCUAUGUCGAUUUAACGCUACUUAUUGACCAAACACCGUUCUGUUCCAAACUGAAUUCCCGACACCAAAUAUUUACCAUUAGUUGGUAAUACAGAUAAUUUCUAUAGGUCGCAAAGUCGAGGAGUUGAAGCAAAAAAGUGUCUUUGGAAAAUAAUGAAAACUAUACGAAUAAUAAGAGAUGGUCCAAAAAUAGUGAUAUCUACAAACAUUUUAUGUAUUUAUAAAACCCUGAUAUUAAACGAUUUCCAUUAAAUAGAUACAAUAUUCUACGAUCUUAAAAUUAUAAUAUUGUUUGACCGUUUAAUUAGAAAACUUUAAUAUUUAACUGUAGAAAAAUGCCUGAUUGGAAAAAAGUUUAUGAGAAUAGAAUGUAGAUGACGUUUUUAUUAAAAAGUAAAUGGAGAAAAGUCACUCAGGUCUCUAUUUUAUUUAUCGCUAAUUAUUUUACUUCUAAACAAUUCCUACUUUUAUCAGAGUUUAUCAGAAGUA